rnacentral:rRNA from 1 species
GCCAGCCCGCUCAGAACUUCAAGGAAUUGACGGGGCCCGGCACAAGCGGUGGAGUAUGUGGUUUAAUUCGAUGCAACGCGAAGAACCUUACCUGGUCUUGACAUCCCGGAGACCCUUAGGAAACUAGGGGUGCUUCCAUCUGGAAGAAUCUGGAGACAGGUGCUGCAUGGCUGUCGUCAGCUCGUGUCGUGAGAUGUUGGGUUAAGUCCCGCAACGAGCGCAACCCUUGCCUUUAGUUGCCAGCAGUUCGGCUGGGCACUCUAAAGGGACUGCCGGUGUUAAACCGGAGGAAGGUGGGGAUGACGUCAAGUCCUCAUGGCCUUUAUGACCAGGGCUACACACGUACUACAAUGGCCGAUACAAAGGGCAGCGACACUGCGAGGUGAAGCCAAUCCCGUAAAAUCGGUCUCAGUCCGGAUUGGAGUCUGCAACUCGACUCCAUGAAGUUGGAAUCGCUAGUAAUCGUGAAUCAGAAUGUCACGGUGAAUACGUUCCCGGGCCUU